UGUCCGGAGAGCAGAAGCUGGUGACCGAUCCAUGGAGGAUGCAGCAUUUGAAAUUAAACGAACCUGCUGUCAGUGAAGAGGACGGUCAACCUCAUCUUAGCCAAAGAUGUCACUGCAACUUUGGAUGAAGACACCAAAUAUGAUAGGUCCCCCAUAGUUGGACCAUUGCUGCUCUGUCGGUGUUCGUUUCCCGGAUUUCUGCACAAUUGUUUUAAAGUUGGACUACAGCGGCGUUAUCUGCCCUCAGUGAAGCCGUGUUUGGGGUGUGGCAUCGGCGAGCCCAUUCCGCCUUCCGCGGUGGCGUGGCAUAUCAGAAUCUGUGUGCCUUAGACAAAAGGGCUUGCCCACCAGAGGGCGCCGAGGAUCCUCUUCUGCUCUUUGUUUUUCCCUUAGGUUUG